UAGGGAAUCUUCGGCAAUGGACGAAAGUCUGACCGAGCAACGCCGCGUGAGUGAAGAAGGUUUUCGGAUCGUAAAACUCUGUUGUUAGAGAAGAACAAGGACGUUAGUAACUGAACGUCCCCUGACGGUAUCUAACCAGAAAGCCACGGCUAACUACGUGCCAGCAGCCGCGGUAAUACGUAGGUGGCAAGCGUUGUCCGGAUUUAUUGGGCGUAAAGCGAGCGCAGGCGGUUUCUUAAGUCUGAUGUGAAAGCCCCCGGCUCAACCGGGGAGGGUCAUUGGAAACUGGGAGACUUGAGUGCAGAAGAGGAGAGUGGAAUUCCAUGUGUAGCGGUGAAAUGCGUAGAUAUAUGGAGGAACACCGAUGGCGAAGGCAGGUCUCUGGGCAGUUACUGACGCUGAGGAGCGAGAGCAUGGGUAGCGAACAGG
rnacentral:rRNA from 1 species